CCUACGGGAGGCAGCAGUGGGGAAUUUUCCGCAAUGGGCGAAAGCCUGACGGAGCAACGCCGCGUGAGGGAUGAAGGCCUCUGGGCUGUAAACCUCUUUUAUCAAGGAAGAAGAUCUGACGGUACUUGAUGAAUAAGCCACGGCUAAUUCCGUGCCAGCAGCCGCGGUAAUACGGGAGUGGCAAGCGUUAUCCGGAAUUAUUGGGCGUAAAGCGUCCGCAGGCGGUCUUGUAAGUCUGUCGUUAAAGCGUGGAGCUUAACUCCAUUUCGGCGGUGGAAACUACAAGACUAGAGUGUGGUAGGGGCAGAGGGAAUUCCCGGUGUAGCGGUGAAAUGCGUAGAUAUCGGGAAGAACACCAGUGGCGAAGACGCUCUGCUGGGCCAUAACUGACGCUCAUGGACGAAAGCUAGGGGAGCGAAAGGGAUUAGAUACCCCUGUAGUCCUAGCCGUAAACGAUGAACACUAGGUGUCGGGGGAAUCGACCCCCUCGGUGUCGUAGCUAACGCGUUAAGUGUUCCGCCUGGGGAGUACGCACGCAAGUGUGAAACUUAAAGGAAUUGACGG
rnacentral:rRNA from 1 species